CCCGCUCUGGAGGCCGCGCUGCCGCCUGGGAAUAGCGGGCUCGGCGUCACCCGGCGCGGGGCCACGUGACGCGGGAAAAGCCCGAGGCGGCGGGGCUGGCGCAGGCGGAGCUCGCGCCAGCGGAGCAGCAGCUGAGGCCCUGGUGGGGAAGGGGCUGCCCAGUGAGGUUACUCGACGGGUCCCGGCCUCGCGCGCACGUGCCCGCCUGCUCGCGCUCGCGGUCUUGGGCGCUGACGAUGUUUCUCCAUUAUAUUCCUGCGGUAAAUGUUACUGUCAAGAAACCUGAUGCCAACUUGAUUUUCUUCCUUUGUGAUUUUGGACCACGUGACUGCGUGACGGCCAAUGGGAAUGUGAAAGGAAGAGAUGUGCCACUUCCUGUCUGAGGCGGUUGAGUAGAUGAGGAAACUGUGGCUCAGAGAGCUGAGAUAACUGAGCAUGGAGCUGGAAGUCCAUGGAGCACACCUGGAAGUCAAGGUAUUUAUCCAGGAGGAUGACAACAUAGGUUUUCAAAAAGACUCAUACAGUCAACAAAGAAUUUGUCGUAUAUUCACUCAUACACUGGAAUACUUGCAAUGCAGAGGAAAACAACACCUUUAUUCCCUAAAAGACUGCAUGAACCUCCCAGAUGUCAUGUUGAGAGAAAGAAGAAAGACGUAAGAAUAUAUACAACGUGGGGAAUUGACUCACAAGAUUAGUGGAGGCUCAGAAGUCCUGCAAUCUGUCAUCUGCAAGCUGAAGGCCCAGGAAAGCUGAUGUUGCAGUCUGAAGGCCUGAGAACUGGGGAGCCAAAGGUGUAAAUUCCAGUCCAAGUCUGAAGGCCUGAAAACCAGGAGUAAAAAGGGCAGAUGAUUGAUGUCCCAGCUCAAUCAGUCAGGUGGAGAGAGAGAGAGAGAGAAUCCUCCCUUCUUCGAGGUUUUUGUUCUAUUCAGGCCCUCAGUGGCUUAGAUGAUGCCUACUUACAUUGAGGAGGGCAACACACUUUACUCAGUCCAGCAAUCCAAAUGCUAUCUCUCUGGAAACAUCCUCACAGACACACUCAAAAAUGUUUAACUGGAUAUCCAGGUACCUGUGAUCCAGUCAAGUUGACACAUAAAAUUAACUGUCACGUGUGCAUAACCUAAAUCUAUUCAUGAGGAGGUAUCAGAUAAUUCCACAUUGAGUCAUUUGGAUCCAAAAUUUUAUCUUCAAACUUCUCAGACCCGUGCGCAUGCAUGUGAGAGAGACCUGGACAGGAGCGGGGAGCUGGAAGCCAGGCCUCAAGUGUUGCAUGUCACUUGAACUUACAGCCUGUUGCCCAGAACCCCAUAAUGUCAUCAGUCUAAUCACAGGGUAGCUGAGAAAUAUGAGGAGCAUGUGGGUAUGAGUGAGCACUGACAGUCUCUGUGACAACAGCUCAGAGCCAGCAGAGCCCAGUGGAGAAUGGGAAUGAAGCCAGGUAAUGUGUUCACCCAGCAUUCACCCAGCACCACAAUGACCAGACAGAGCCAGAUGACAGCCCUCCAGAUCUGCCUGUUGUUGAGUGACAGGUCUUACAAGGUCUCUUUAAGUGUGAGCAUCAGAACAUGCAAUGAUAGAACCCAUAAACGAAUCUGUGGAACCACAGAGAAGAAAUAUUAUUCUGUGAAGUCAGAAGCAUAGACUUCUAAAAUUCAUUUUUUACUGAAACCUGGGGAAAUUUUUAGGAAACUGUUUGGUAUCACCUCUGACAUAGGAGCCUAAAGACAUACAGAUAUUACUGAGGUAGAAUGAAAAAAUGUGAAAUGUAUGAGAUAAGAAUGAUUUAUUGAGCACCUAAAAAUGAAAUCAUAGAAAUAUAAUAUUUAUUGGAGUUAGUAAAGAGCAAAAUCAACAGCACAAAAAUCAUAUCCGUGAUGUGAAAGACAAAGAUCUCCCAGGAUUCAGAGAAAAAGGACAAAAGAAAAAAGAGUGACUGUGGGAGAUACAGAGGAUAAGGAGCAGAGAUACAAACUAAAGAUUUACAUAUAUUCCUAAGGAAGGUUGUAGAACAAUUGCAACAGAAGUAGUUGAAGAAAACUUUCAUGAGCUGAAAGAAAAAAAGGAUGUAUAUCAAUUUUAAAAUAUCAACAUAGGCAUGAUAAAUGCAAAUAUAAUCACAUUUAGGUAAAUCCUAGAAUUUUUUUGUAUUUACAGAUAUAAUGGAGAAAACCUAGAACAAGUAAAACCUGCAAGAGAAAAAUAAAUAAAUAAAACUGACCUCAUAUUUCCCUUUACAAUAAAAAAUCUCCAGAAGACAAUGGAAUAUUCUACAAAGUUUUGAGGAAAAAGGAAAGUAACUGGAGAAUGUAAACACAGUUUUUGUGAUUGACCCUUGGAAAAAUACUAAAACCCACUAAUAUCGCCAUUAGACGACCUUUUUUUCUUUCUUAUGAAGAACAAAUGGAAUUUAUAGAUGUGACUAUUGUCUUAAACCAUUUAUAUCUGUGUGCUUUUCCUCCAGAAUAUUAGCUACAGGUUGCAGCAAAGUGGAGAAGAAUCAAGGGAAAACAUACAGUCCUUGCAAAUUUCCUAUUAAAAAAUCAUCUUUCUUUUUCAGUGUGCUACCUUAUUUCAUGUUAAAGGAUAAAGAGAAUCUUAUUGAUACCAUGUAUAGAAUAGAUAACUAAGGAGAACCUACUGUAUAGCACAGGGAACUCUACUCAGUGCUCUGUGGUGAGCUAAAUGAGAAGGAAAUCCAAAAAAGAGGGGAUAUAUGUACACGUAUAGCUGGUUCACUUUGCUGUACAGUAUAAACUAACAAACUAUUGUAAAGCAACUAGACUUCAGUUAAAAAAAAAAAAAAAAAGAAUAAAGGGAAUCUUACCCUUCAAUGCCCCAAAUGAAUACAAAGUGUAAUGACUGCAAGUCUCCAUUAAACUUUCCCAAAGGAAAGGGCCUGAUUCCCUAUCCAGAGCCAACUCUUCCCCUUAGGCACUGACUCCCAACCCCUCUUAUCUAUUCAAAGACAUCUCAUCUAUUUUCCCCUACGUGAUCAAAUUUCCUUCUCUAUCAGAUCUUUUUCAUCAGCAGAAAAAUAAAUCCUGCAUAUUUCCCCUCCUACUAACGUCCCAUUUCUCUGCUCCCCUUUACAGCAAAUGACUUUUAAAGAUUUCCUUUCUUUUCUUUCUUUCUUAGUAAAGUUAACACAUAGAAUGGAUCAUCACAUCUACCAAGGGCCUUGGCAUUUAUUCUUCCCUCUUCUUAGAACACUCUUUCCCUAGGUAUUCACAUGGCUCCCUCUCUCAGUUCCUUCAGGUCUCUUCUCAAAUGCUGUAAUAUCAGAGGGGUAUAUUCUGACACCCCCCAUAUCUCACACUAGCAUUCCCUGGUCCCCCUUUCCAACUAUUAUUUUUCCUCUUUAGCCUGUACCACCACCUGUUAUAUUAUGUAUUUCUUUACUGACUAUCUUGCCUCUCUCAGCCCCCACUUGCAUGUAAGCUUCAUAAAGGCAGAGAUUUUGUCUAUUAUAUUCACUACUGAAUCCCCGAGCCUGGCAUCCCCGAGUCUUUCAGUGAAUAUGUGUUUAAUGAACUAAGAUUUAAUUACAACCAUGAAAGUCAUCUCACCAAUGCAGAGAGAAGAGGGAGAAGAUAGAUGAAAUUCACAUAUGCCAAAUCAUGUAAUAUUCCCUUGAGUUUUAGUAUUUUGAGGGAUUUCUCUUUCUUUUUUUUCUCUAGUUCCAUUAAACAAAAAUAUGUUAAUAAAAGUUCUAUCCAUUGAGAAGAACAAAGUUGGAGGACUGAUGCUCUUUGACUUCAAGACCUAUAAAGCUAUAGUAAUUAAGACAGUGUGGUAUUGGUGAAAGAGAAGACAAAUGGAUCAAUAGAUCAGAAUAGAGAGCGAGAAAUAGACUCCAAUAAAUAUAGUCAAUUGAUCUUUGACAAAGGAGCAAAGGCAAUACAGUGGAGCAAAGGUAAUCUCUUCAACAAAUAUUGCUGGAACAACUAGACAGCCACAUGUAAAACAUGAAUCUAGACACAGACCUUAUACCAUUCACCAAAAAGAACUUAAAAUAGAUCAUAGACCUAAAUGUAAAACACAGAAUUAUAUAACUCUUAGAAGAUAAGAUAGGAGAAAACCUAGAUGACCUUGGGUAUGGUGACACCUUUUCAGACACAACACCAAAGAGAUGAUCCAUGAAAGAAAGAAAGAAAGAAAAAUGAGAUGAUCUCAUUUCUAAGGCAUUGACAAACUGGACUUCGUUAAGAUUAAAAUCUUCUGCUCUGCUAAAGACAAAAUCACAUGAAUUAGAGGACAAGCCACAGACCGGGAGAAAAUAUUUGCAAAAGACACGUCUGAUAAAGGACUUUUAUCCAAAAUAUACAAAGAAGUCUUAAAACUCAGCAGUACAAAAACAAAUAAGCUCAUUUUAAAAUGAGCCAAAGACCUUAACAGACACCUCACCAAAGGAGACAUACAAAUGGCGAAAAAGCAUAUAAGGAGAUGCUCCACAUCACGUGUCAUCAGGGAAAUGCAAAUUAAAACAACAAUGAAAUAUCAUUACACAUCUGUUAGAAGGGUCCAAUCCAAACACUGAAAAUGCCAAUGGCUAGUAAGGCUGGGAGCAGCGGGAACGCUCACACCUUGCUGGUGGGAAUGCAGCCACUUUGGAAGAUGAUUUGGCAGUUCCUUACAAAACUAAACAUACUUUUACCAUAAGAUCCAGUAAUCACAUUCCUUUGUAUUUACCCAAAGGUUCUGCAAACUUAUGUCCACACAAAAACCCACACAGGCAUGUUUAUAGCAGCUUUAUUCAUAACUGCCAAAACUUGGAAGCAGCCAAGAUGUCCAUUAGUAGGUGAAUGGGUAAAUAAAUUAUGGUAGGUCCAGGCAAUGGAAUAUUACUCAGGGCUAAAAAAUAAAUGAGCCAUGAAACCAUGCAAAGACGUGGAAGAACCUUAAAUGCAUAUAACUGAGUGAAAGAAGCCAAUCUGAAAGCUUACAUAUGGAAAAAGCCACACUAUGGGAGACAGAAAGAAGAUCAGAGUUGCCAAGGGUUGGAAGGCAGGGGAGAGAUGAAUAGGUGGAACAAAGAAUUUUUAAGGCAGUGAAAAUACUCUGUGUGAUAUUGUAAGAUUAAUACGUGCCGUUAUACAUUUGUCCAGACCCAUAGAAUGUGCAAAACCAAGAGUGAACCCUAAGUUAAACUAUGGGCUGUGGGUAAUGUGAUGUGUCAAUGUAUGUAAAAAUGUACCCUUCUGAUGAGUGGUGUGAUCAUGAGGGAAGCUCUGCAUGUGUGGGAGCAGGGGAUAUACGGGAAUCCUCUGUACCUCUCUUGAAAUUUUGUGGUAAACCUAAAACCACUCUUAAAAAAGUCUUUAAAAAGGUCCUACCCAUCUACACACUAUAAUAUUGCUGAUUUUGUUGGUGUUUGAACUACAAAGCAAGGAACUGAAAAUCAGAAUUCAAAUCUCUUUUUUGUUCCUCAACUUUUUAUCUUGAUGAAAAUAUUUGUUUUGAUGCCUUUUGUUUAAGAAAAUGAUCAUUGUCUAUUUAAAGUGAAGGGGAGAUCGUGUGAAUUUUUUUUUCAUGUAUGGGUAUGAAAAUCUGUUUUUUUCCACCAAAUAUCUCAGUUGAGAGAAGAAUAUUAAUUUUUUGGACAUCUCUCAUAACAUUUUAAUAAAUGUUUAUUGAGCACUUAUAUACCUGGCAUUCUAAAAGAAAGUUCUUAUUUUCUUUGUUGUUAAUAAGACUGGGGUUGACAUACUAUGGUCUCCAGGCCAGAUCUGGACCAUUGCCCAUUUUUAUUAAAAAAUGUUUUAUCGGGGCAUAACCACAUUUAUUCAUAUAGGGAUUCUCUAUGGCUGCUUUCGCUUUACAAUGAUGAAGAUGAGUAGUUGCAAUAGAGACUGUAGACCCACAAAGAAAAUAUUUACUAUCUUGUACUUUAAAGUUUUCUGACCCUUGAUCUAGGGAAUAUGCCGUGAUAUAAAGGCAUUGCCUCUAGGACAGAAAAAUAUGAAUGGGGUUAAGAAGAAUGGAAGGAAGGCUGCCUUGGGUGACCAACGAGGCAAUGCAGGGCCAAGGAGAUAAGACCCUGACCCAGGGGAACGCUGGUCAGGUGUGUGAAAAAAAGAAUGAUUGGCAAUGAAGGGUUGGUCCCAAGGGAAGAUGGUGACCUGCAGAGUUGCAAAUAAGGGGUGUCUGUUGGAGUGAAAGUCGGCUGAGACAGUCUGCUCAUAAAUCAUGUGGAAAUCCUUGACAGAAAGAGACCUGCAAAGGAACAGGAAUGAUACUGUGGCUGGAGAAAAAUGUGUAGCAGAAAAUGAAAACAGAAAUGCCUCAUUUUUCUUAUGCUUGAGCAAAAAAACACGCGGUUGGUAGCACAGUGAUGGGAGGAGAGAAACAGGUAACCACAGCCUCUUGUUCUUCUGCCAGGCCUGCAGCUGUUUGUCAGACUCUCAGAACAAACAUACAUGUUCACAUUGGUCGUUAGUGGAGCGGAGUCUUUUGAGGAUUAUCCUAUUGGGGAAAUACUUAGCUUUGAGCAAAGGGAGGAGACAUUUCAGCACAGCUGUCUCCGUAGUAGGUGGACAGUAUUGGAUACGUUUGAAAUGAGAAGAAACGUACAUGAUUCAAACAGGAGUUCUCAUAGGUCCAGGGACAGGACAGGGAGAGGGAAUGUCAUAGAAGCAAAAGGUACCCCACCUGUAUCCCCGUAAACAACUGCACAGCAGCCUAAGUUCCAGCUGCCUACAGGCUCUUUCUGGCAACUGAAGCCCACUCAGUUGGGCACAAAAAGCUGGAAGUUCGAGAAAAUACCACUCCCGCAAGCAGCCCUCCAUUAGUGACUAAAGGGAGUGGGCAAAUAAGACUCUAAUUCCUAUAGCCCUUAGGUGGGAUAAUUCUGAGGCGCGUGUCUCCCUGUUUCUCCCAGAGUUCCCUUGUGGGGUUGAGCUCCUAUCAACCGCAGUGACACUGGCUUGAGAACCUACCAUUUUCCUGUCUCACUUCCCCACUCCCCUAGCAGUCCCGGGAUCACUUUGAAUCCUUGUCUCCAGGUCUCCUUCUGGAGAAUCCAAAUUACGGCAGUUCUCUACAUUGAGGUGAGAGGUGGCAUGAAAUUGGGGGCCUACAUGAGAAUAUAUCUGAGUUGUACUCAAGGAAGAGUAUUAAGAUUGUAUUGAGACCAACAGGUUCAACCUCCUGGCUUGAGAAGCAAGAUAAAGCCCUAAAUAUGAGAACGAGUAACUAAGAUCACACACAAGAAGAAAGAUGGAGGGCAUUUGGGAUGGUGUUGCUGAGCCAGUUGGGCUAGUGGUUUGGAAUUAAAGCCACAAAUGACAGAAAGCAGUUCGCUGAAGAUGUACCACUUUUUGGCCCAGACUUGGAGCAGGUAAAUAAUAAGAAUUAGUAAUACUUAGACAUCCAUUACAUGUAAAUUCAACCCAAACAAUUUUUAUAGAAGCCAAAUUGUAUACCUUAUACUGCAUUAGGAACUUGGGGGUAUGAAGUUGAGUAAACAAAAUUCCUGCUCUCAAGUGACAUGACAAUAGUACGGCUUUAGUCACCACCAUAUUUUGUCAUUAAAGCAACCCAGUAGGCAGCCUGGGUGUGCAUACUGACAUCCUAAAAAGAGAAAAGCUGAGAAGUCAAGAGCGGUUGAUAUUCACAAAGAUCGUGAAUGGGAGAGGUAGAUCAAGAACCCAGGACUCUAAGAACUGGUUGAGUUUUAAAUUUUUAUUUAUUUUUUAGUAUUUUUUCUUUCUACCACUCUACUCCUUUGUAAUUAUAAUGUUUAAUCAGAGGAUCAGAAUUGCACAGUACUCAAAUGGAAAGAAUUUCUCUGUCUAGUCAAUUAUCUACAGCAAUUUAAUACUAUUCAAGUCAGCAUGUGUUUAUAGAGCAUCUACUAGGCAAGAGGAACUGUGCUUUCUAGUCUAGGGGAGAUGAAGGGCACACACUUAUGUACAAGGAAAUAAGGUAGCAGUAUAUGUUGCCUUUUAUAUAUAACACCGUAACAAAUAUUGAAGUGAUAAAUUAUGUGUUUCAGACAGGGCCAGUAUUAAUGAAUUGGUAAUGAGUCUAUUUGUCAAAAGUAGCACUAAGAGGAGACCUUCAAGAUGGCAGAGGAGUAAGAUGCGGGGAUGACCUUCCUCCCCACAAAUGCAUCAGAAAUACACCUACAUGUGGAACAACCCCUACAGAACACCUACUGAACGCUGGCAGAAGAUCUCAGACCUCCCAAAAGGCCAAAAACUCCCCACGUACCUGGGUAGGGCAAAAGAAAAAAGAAUAAACAGAGACAAAAGAAUAGGGACGGGACCUGCACCAGUGGGAGGUAGCCGUGAAGGAGGAAAUGUUUCCACGUGCUAGAAGCCCCUUUGCGGGUGGAGCCUGCGGGUGGCGGAGGGGGAAGCUUCGGAGCCGCGGAGGAGAGAACAGCAACAGGGGUGCAGGGGACAAAGUGGAGAGAUUCCCGCACAGAGGAUCGGUGCCGACCGGAACUCACCAGCCCGAGAGGCUUGUCUGCUCACCUGCCGGGGUGCGGGGGUGGGGGGCUGGGAGCUGAGGCUCGGGCUUCGGUCGGAGCGCAGGGAGAGGACUGGGGUUGGCGGCAUGAACACAGCCUGCAGGGGGCUAGUGCACCACGGCUGGCUGGGAGGGAGUCUGGGAAAAGGUUGGAGCUGCCGAAGAGGCAAGAGACUUUUUCUUCCCUCUUUGUUUCCUGGUGCGCGAGGAGAGGGGAUUCAGAGCGCCGCUUAAAGGAGCUCCAGAGAUGGGCGCGAGCCACGGCUAUCAGCGCGGGCCCCACAGAUGGGCACGAGACGCUAAGGCUGCUGCUGCCGCCACCAAGAAGCCUGUGUGCGAGCACAGGUCACUGUCCACACCCCCCUUCCGGGGAGCAUGUGCAGCCCGCCACUGCCAGGGUCCCGGGAUCCAGGGACAACUCUGGGACAACAUUAAAUGCACCAACAUUCAAAAUAUAAGGGUCCCAAAAGAAGAAGAGAAAAAGAAAGGGACAGAGAAAAUAUUUGAAGAGAUUAUAGUUGAAAAUUUCCCUAAUAUGGGAAAGGAAAUAGUCAAUCAGGUCCAGGAAGCACAGAGAGUCCCAUACAGGAUAAAUCCAAGGAGAAAUACGCCAAGACACAUAUUAAUCAAACUAUCAAAAAUUAAAUACAAAGAACAAAAAAAAUUAAAUACAAAGAACAAAUAUUAAAAACAGCAAGGGAAAAACAACAAAUAACACACAAGGGAAUCCCCAUAAGGUUAACAGCUGAUCUUUCAGCAUAAGUUCUGCAAGCCAGAAGGGAGUGGCAGGACAUAUUGAAAGUGAUGAAAGGGAAAAACCUACAACCAAGAUUACCCAGCAAGGAUCUCAUUCAGAUUCGACAGAGAAAUUAAAACCUUUACAGGCAAGAAAAGCUAAGAGAAUUCAGCACCACCAAACCAGCUUCACAGCAACCCAAUCCAAAAAUGAGCAGAAGACCUAAAUAGACAUUUCUCCAAAGAAAAUAUACAGAUUGCCAACAAACACAUGAUAGGAUGCUCAACAUCACUAAUCAUUAGAGAAAUGCAAAUCAAAACUACAAUGAGGUAUCACCUCACACCAGUCAGAAUGGCCAUCAUCAAAAAGUCUACAAACAAUAAAUGCUGGAGAGGGUGUGGAGAAAAGGGAACCCUCUUGCACUGUUGGUGGGAAUGUAAAUUGAUACAGCCACUAUGGAGAACAGUAUGGAGGUUCCUUAAAAAACUAAGAAUAGAACUACCAUAUGACCCAGCAAUCCCACUACUGGGCAUAUACCCUGAGAAAACCAAAAUUCAAAAAGAGUCAUGUACCAAAAUGUUCAUUGCAGCUCUAUUUACAAUAGCCUGGAGAUGGAAACAACCUAAGUGCCCAUCAUCAGAUGAAUGGAUAAAGAAGAUGUGGCACAUAUAUACAAUGGAAUAUUACUCAGCCAUAAAAAGAAACGAAAUUGAGCUAUUUGUAAUGAGGUGGAUAGACCUAGAGUCUGUCAUACAGAGUGAAGUAAAUCAGAAAGAGAAAGACAAAUACCGUAUGCUAACACAUAUACAUGGAAUUUAAGAAAAAAAAAUGUCAUGAAGAACCUAGGGGUAAGACAGGAAUAAAGACACAGACCUACUGGAGAACGGACUUGAGGAUAUGGGGAGGGCGAAGGGUGAGCUGUGACAGGGCGAGAGAGAGGCAUGGACGUAUAUACACUAACAAAUGUAAGGUAGACAGCUAGUGGGAAGCAGCCGCAUGGCACAGGGAUAUCGGCUUGGUGCUUUGUGACCGCCUGGAGGGGUGGGAUAGGUAGGGUGGGAGGGAGGGAGACGCAAGAGGGAAGAGAUGUGGGGACAUAUGUAUAUGAAUAACUGAUUCACUUUGUUAUAAAGCAGAAACUAACACACCAUUGUAAAGCAAUUAUACCCCAAUAAAGAUGUUAAAAAAAAAAAAAAGAGUCAUGUACCACAAUGUUCAUUGCAGCUCUAUUUACAAUAGCCAGGACAUGGAAGCAACCUAAGUGUCUGUCGACCAAUGAAUGGAUAAAGAAGAUGUGGCAUGUAUAUAAAAUGGAAUAUUACUCAGCCAUAGAAAGAAAGGAAAUUGAGUUAUUUGUAGUGAGGUGGAUGGACCUAGAGUCUGUCAUACAGCGUGAAGUCAGUCAGAAAGAGAAAAACAAUUGCCAUAUGCUAACACAUAGAUAUGGAAUCUAAAAAAAAAGAAAAAAAAUGGUUCUGAAGAACCUAGUGACAGGAUAGGAGUAAAGACACAGACGUAGAGAAUGGACCUGAGGACAUGGGGAGUGGGAAGGGUAAGCUGGGACAGAGUGAGAGAGUGGCAUGGACAUAUAUACACUACCAAAUGUAAAAUGGAUAGCUUGUGGGAAGCAGCUGCAUAGCACAGGGAGAUCAGCUCGGUGCUUUGUGACCACCUAGAGGGGUGGGAUAGGGAGGGUGGGAGGAAGAUGCAAGAGGGAGGAGAUAUGGGGAUAUAUGUAUAUGUAUAGCUGAUUCACUUUGUUAUAAAGCAGAAACUAACAGACCAUUGUAAAACAAUUACACUCCAAUAAAGAUGUUAAAAAAAAAAAGUAGCACUAAGUGGUCUUCUAGUCUCCAGGGAAAUCUCACUAAAAAAUCAGCUUCUGAGCAGACAUUGCUGGCUGGAUGGAAUACGGCUGAUGGGGAGGAGGAGGGCUGGCUGGAGGAAUAGCAUCAAUGGGAGGUGAGCAGGGUAUGGGUGGAGAACAGUGGAUAGUAUUAGAAGAGUAUUUUACAGCUGUUCUGAUGGGUUUUUCAAGGUUUUUUGUUUGUUUGUUUGUUUGCGGUACGCGGGCCUCUCACUGUUGUGGCCUCUCCCGUUGCGGAGCACAGGCUCCGGAUGCGCAGGCCCAGCGGCCAUGGCUCACGGGCCCAGCCGCUCCGCAACAUGUGGGAUCCUCCCGGACCGGGGCACGAACCCGUGUCCCCUGCAUCGGCAGGCGGACUCUCAACCACUGCGCCACCAGGGAAGUCCAGCCAUGGUGGGGUUAAAGAGAAAAGGGGAGAUGAAUGUGUAAGAGCCCUGGAAAGGAGAAGGAAAAGGCUAGCCAGCAGUAAGGAAUGACUAAGUGUUUGACUCAGAGUUAGGGGAACACUUGAUUUUGAAAAUAGAUGGCUAGAGGAAUCCCUUCUAGUAGGGAGCUCCUUUUAUAUAGAUUAUCAUUUUAUGAUGGGUAAACUCAGUAUCAUCUUUAAGUCUGAUGUAACUUAAUAAGUAUGGUGGCUAUAAAAAUAUCCACAAUUCUUUGCCUCUCCUCCCACCAAAAGGUGGAGUCCAUAGCCUCACAUGUGCUGGCUCUGGGCUGACCCUGUAAUUUGCUUUGACCCAUAGAAUGUGCUGGUAGUGACAUUGUUCCACAGCCUUGGCCUUCUGAGGCCUGGCAGCUUUUGUGUUUGCCAUCUUGGAAGCCAGUUGCCAUGUAAAAAGUACAAUCACCUUCUCGGAAAGAGGGGCCAUGUGCAGAGAGGCUCUGGAGAAUGGGAGAUUACAAAGGGAGAGAUGCAGCUCUCCCAGCCGCCCAGCUGAGGCAUCAGACAUGAGAGGGAAGCCAUGCUGUGUCUUCCACGCUCAUGAGUGACCCCACUCACACCACAGCGAGCAGAGACAAUCCACCCUGCCUCGCCUCACGCUGGCUGCAAAUCAUGAACAUAUAAAUUGUUGUUGUAAGUCACUAGGGUUUGGAGUAGUUUCUUCCACAGUAGUAGAUAACUGAAACAAAAAUUGGUACUUGAAGCUCAGGUACUGCUUUUAAAUAAGUUAAGUAACUAAAGCCCUAAGACGUGUGGUGUUGGCAUUGAGGAUGAGCUGACGGCAAAGACUGGCAGGGUGACAAGGAAACUAUUAGAGGAGCCUGAAAAAGCAGUGAGGAAAUUACUAAUGGAAGCUGGAUACAGGACAAUCCCUGUUUGGUAGAGGCAGAAUUUUGGCAACACUAUUGCCUGCGGUAAUGUGAAAGAUAGAAAAUCCAACUAAUAAAUUUGUGGAUUUGGCUAAGCAGAUUUCUGGGCAGAAUGUUGAAAGUGCUAUUUGGUUUCUUUCAGCUGUAUAUGGUAAGGUAUUAAGAGAAAGAUGAACUAAAAUGUUAAGUAUUAUGAGUGCAAGCGAAACAGAAGAAAUACAGAGGCCGUAGACAGUCUCUCUGGAAAGCAGAAGUUUUUCAAAAUGAGAUAUCGCCGUAUGGCGAAGACCAAAUCCAGGGUACACUGAGUAAAAUAUGGCCUCAAGCUACAAAGCAAGUUAAGGAGGUGGACGUAAGAUGCUCCUUAAGAUUUCUGGAAGCUUCACAGCAGAGUCUCCUGUAUUUGAAAUCACAAAAUUUUGAAAGUAUCCUGAAGAUUUAUCCUCAGGAGACUGGAUAAAUAAACAAUAAUGUAUCUACACAAUGAAGUACUAUGUACUCAUAAAGAAGAAUAAGGGAGAUCUCUAUGGACUGUUAUGGAAGAAUUAGAAAGAUAGAUUGUUGAGGGGAAAAAACUCAACAUAAAAUGAAUAUACAGAGUAUGAGCUCUUUUGUGAAAGAAAGAAGAAAAAAGAUAUAUAGGUUAUAUAUUUUUUAAAAGUAUUACAUAAAUAUAAAUACAUAAAUAUAAAUGGCACACACACACACACACACACAUUUUUGCCAAAGGAAACAGUUAAGAAUAAAGCAGAUACUAAUGUAAAUGUUACCAAUAAGAGGUGGGUGUAAAUGAGGUGAAAGAGAUAGGAAUAGACAUAAGACCCUUCUAGUAUAUCUUUUGAUAUAACUUUAAAUUUGAAUGAUUUAAAAAUAUACACAGUCGAAAGUAUAAUUAAAUUAUUAGGGUAAACUUUACAGUUGAAUACAAACAGAAAAAAAUGAACUCAACUCAGUAUCAAACAGACAAUCUAACCCCACAGGAAAAAAUAUUCAUUCCUAUAAUGUCUAUACACAUCAUACUCUGAUUCUACACCGUUAGUAGGAUAGAUUUUAAAGACAACAAAAGAAAUCUGGAACUUUGCUUAGUAGAUUCGUUCUUGGUAGAGGUAUUGCUGAAAUCAUUUUGCAUGAAUUGUAGAUAAGUAAAUACAUUGAUAGUUGGUUAAUUCAGUCCGACUCACCAGUGGAAACAGAACACAUUGUGCACCUUAAACUUACACAAUGUUAUAUGUUAAUUAACUCUCAAUUUUUUAAAUGUACUAGGUGUGAGAAUGAUUUUGUGAUUAUAUGUAGAGAGUGUCUUUUUCAAAGAAAGCAGAAAUGAUUAAGACAUGAGUUACUUCUUGCAUAUGCAACUUAAUUCUACCUGUCUUCGUAAAAGUAUUUUAAAAUCACAGAUUUAGCCAUCUCAGCCUUCAUUUUCCCCAAUAACAGAGUUUUCCUUGAAUAAAUUUGUAUUUCUGAAAAGAAAGCUAAGUUACUGCAAAAUUCUCUUACGAGGGCUUAUGAUUUGCUAAUAUGUGCUUUCCACGCCAGGAAAUCAGUUCAUGAGUCUUCAGACCAAGAUAAAAUCUGAAAUUUCUUUUAAAAAUUUUAAGUAGAUUUACUCUAAUUUUUCUGUGGAAAAAAUCCUCAUUACUUUGAAAAGAGGAAUUACUUUCCUUUAGAAGAUUCUGUCUUUAUGAUGAUUGUUUUAGUAACACUUUACCUAAGGCUUAAGUCUCUGUAACCCAUUCUUCUCUUCUACUGAAAGCAUUCUACACUUGCUCUCUUUUUUUCUCUGUCUACAUCCUCACCUCCUACAAUUCCUUGUUUUUUUCCUUAAGUUCUCUCUGACCUACUCUCCCAUGUGGUUGCUUUUGGCUUCAUGCCCACAAGCCAAUAAAGAUGGACCAAUCUUUCUUUCCAAAGCUCCCAAACACAUGCUCAAUUAUAAAAAUCCUAAUAGUUUCCAAUAAUCAGAAUUUCUAAUAAUCAGUUUUCUUCAUGAAGUCUUCUCAGUUUCAAUUUUUAUCCUUUCUCGUCUGUUUGCAAUUUAGAAUGGAUGAUUAUACAUGUUUUCAGUGAUUUAAAUUUAAAAUAAUAUUAGUUUAAAUUCUUUCAAUUAGAAUUUCUCCCCAUGACCUCAGACCCACAUAGUCUUACCCUAGUAGUAGUCCUAACACAAUGCAGCCAUUUGUUUAGGCUUGGAGUACUUUAGAGCAGGAAGGCAUAGGUAGGAAGUUGCUAAACUGGAAUCAUCAAUGCUUAAGACGGAAGAAAUAGCCUACCUGAAUAGAAUGUUGGAUGCUUUCAAAUGUGUUUUAAAACUAUAUUGAAUUUUGAGUUUAUUGUUCCCUUGCUUUUUUAAAGUCAAAAAUAUUGAUGUGUAAUACGUACCCAAUAAAUAUCACCCAUUUUAACUGUACAGUUUGAUAAAUUUGGACAAAUGUAGAGUGUUAUGUAACCAACACCGAAAUCAAGACAGAGAACAUUUCCAUCAACUCAAAAAGGUCCCUCCUGAGUCAUGAUCUUUGGGGACAUUCCCUUCUCUCUACUCCCAGCCUUUGGCAACCACUGAUCUAUUUUCUGUGCCUAUAUGACAUUUUGCAGAGUCUCGUAUAAAUAAAAUCACACAGUAUGUAGAUUUUUGUGUCUGGAUUCUUUCAUUUAGCAUAUUUGAGACUCAUCCAUGUUUUUACAUGUAUCAGUAGUUCUUUUUAUUUUACUGAAUAGUAUCCCAUUGUACGGAUGGACUACAGUCUGUUUACCUAUUCACCAGUUAAUGGACAGUUGGGUUCUUUCUAGAUUUUUAUUAUGAAAAAGUCUCUUUAAACAUUCAUGCAAGGUCUUUGUAUGGAUAUAUGUUUUCAUUUCUUGUGGAUGAAUACCUAGGAACAAAAUGGUUGUCAUGUGGUAAGUGCAUAUUUAAUUUUAUAAGAAAAUGCCAAAUUGUUUUUGCAAAGAGAUUGCACCAUUUUGCAUUCCCACCAACAAUGUAUAGAUUUUCAGUUGCACCAUAUAUUAUACCUACCAAAACUCAGUAAUAUCAGUUGUUUAGAUUUUAUCAAUUCUAGUAGGGGUGUAAAGGUAUAUCACUGUAGUUUUAUUUUGCACUUUUCUAAUAUCUAGCAAAUUUUAACAUCACCUCAUUUGUUCAUUUGCCAUCCAUAUAUCUAUUUUGGUUAAAUGACUGUUUCAACCUUUUGCUCACUAAGAAAAAAAGAAAAAAUCUGGUGGUUAUCUUCUUAUUGAGUUGUAAGUGUCCUAUAUAUAUUUGUAAUACAAGUCCCUUAACAGAUAUGUGUUUUGCAAGUAUUUAUUCCAACCUGUAGCUUAUCUUUUCAUUUUCUUAACAGUUUACCUCAAAAACCUGAUGUUUCAAAUUUUAAUAAAAUCAUUUCUAUUAA